ensembl:lncRNA
AUGACUCAUGAUUCCGGAAGAUUUGAAAAUAAAGACAGACCAAGAGAUGUAACUGCCAUCUCCAAGAUUUCAGUUACAAUGCUAGCAGCGGUGCUCAGCUUCUUCCUCCUCCUCUUCCUCAGCCCAAAUCUUGCUGAUGAUACAGUGGCAGAGGACAUUAGACCUCACCAGCUGGAGCGGCCGGUGGAGCUGCUGACAGCUCGUGCGUGUGAGGAGCUCAUCUCUGCCAUAUCUCAACCUGAGGAGAGCAUCUUCAAACACUUAGACCUACUAUCUGCAGAAAGGAACCAGUUACUGCAUUCAAGAAGACGCAGAAACACAGAACAGAAGGACCCCUGUCACUCAGCGCUUAAGGACUGGCUGCAGAUUCACGGCAAGCAGAUAUACUAUGACAGGCUGUCUCGUGCACUGCAACAGAUCGGCAGGACUGACAUCGCCAUAGAGGUGGGUAAGAACAUCAACCAGGACAAAACUCUUGCUAUGCAGAGAUAUGUGGACGGCUAUCAUGAACUUGUUAACCAAAUGGCCACUCACCUGGAGAAGCAUGCAUCCGAAAAUCAUGAAGACCAUGAGGAGGUGCUACAUUACUCUGCAAAACAGGCCAAAGAGUUCACUUGGAAAGAUGUGGACUUGGUGGUGAAAAGGCAACCAGUACCACCUUAUCAGCCCCAUCUGCUAGACAGAGUAUGGCCUCUACUUUACGGCCUCCUGCUUGGAUUUGCUGGCGCAGUACUCAUAAGCGUGGCCGUCUUGCUUAUUAGCAUAUAUGUAUCCCAUGGCAACAGAACCAAAUCCAAGGCCAAGUAUCAACGCCGUCGCUGUCCCCUUCUCAGUGUUGUGACAUCAUCAAAGAUACGCCACCCAGAGGACACACGCAGACAGAGUAACGGAUGUUCAGGACACUAAUGAAGCCAUGUUCAUCAGUAUAAAACACAAUAUUAAAUGUGCCUUUGAUGGCUGAUCAAAGUGUCUGUUAUCUCAUCCAGUGUGCUAUUAAAAUUACAGUUAGACAGUCGCACACGUCGACACCUUCAGUUCCCACUGCUUCUCAUAAAGACAUUUCUGCAAUAAAGCACCUGACAGAACAUAAUGACA